rnacentral:rRNA from 1 species
UACGGAGGGGGCUAGCGUUGUUCGGAAUUACUGGGCGUAAAGCGCACGUAGGCGGCUUUGUAAGUUAGAGGUGAAAGCCCGGAGCUUAACUCCGGAAUUGCCUUUAAGACUGCAUCGCUAGAAUUGUGGAGAGGUAAGUGGAAUUCCGAGUGUAGAGGUGAAAUUCGUAGAUAUUCGGAAGAACACCAGUGGCGAAGGCGACUUACUGGACACAUAUUGACGCUGAGGUGCGAAAGCGUGGGGAGCAAACAGG